UCGGGCUCGUUUGGAAGUUGACCAUCAAUGUUAACUUCUUUUCCCGAUUAGCCUAGAUAGCUGUGUAGUGUCGGUAGCGGUUAUCUCAAUUGGCUAAGAAUAACACUACGGAUCGCCUGAUCCAGUGGUAAGAGUCCACUAAACAGGUGACCCCUAAUUCAUGGUGUUAUGCGGCUUUAUGCUUACCGUGCCAAAGAAUGAAUGGUUAGGGGGGUCUAAUAAAAACCUAACUACAAACGGAGCCUGUGGAAUACUAGGGCGCCCUCCACAGUAUUCUGUCCUUACUGCGCCAACCGGAGCAAUGGUGCAGUUGACCUUGUGCUAUCCUUCACUCUGAAAAAUCCACAUGUCAAGGCUACGUGGAAAAUCACGUAGCGUCUGAAAAGUGUUCAUUUGCCUGAAUUUACCUGACGAAGGUGACUAUUAUCUAGCCAGAGAUAAAUAUGAUAUGAUGUUCCAGUUGCCUUUAUGCAGCUUCUCAGUAUCUCUCACUUGGAAAUCACGUAGCCGCCUGAGUUCAUUGUGACAACUUCAUUUCGUGUUCAUUGUUGUGAUGCCGCCAUCAUUUUGUGUGCAUGUCAUCGCCAAGAUGGCGUAAUUUAAAAACAAACCUCGACUCCUGAUUUUUUUUUUUUCGAUAUUACCGACAUUUUUGUCAGAGGAAUUGUUAUUGUUUAGGCACCGCUGAACGGGUGCCGUCGAUGAAAACUGCAAUCUGCUAACAGAAAUGAUCCGGAGAAGAAUAGCAGCAUUCUGUUUCGGCAGCACACUAAAUGCACCAACAUCGCCAAAUAAAGCAUACGCAGCAAUAGAAAUUAUUUUCAAAGUGCGAACUGUUAAAUACUUGCGACGACCAUAAUGUGCCAAGACGUAGUGCCAGAUUUAGCGUAAAUAAACAGAAAUUUGACCGA